AGUGAACGCUGGCGGUAGGCCUAACACAUGCAAGUCGAACGGCAGCACAGUAAGAGCUUGCUCUUACGGGUGGCGAGUGGCGGACGGGUGAGGAAUACAUCGGAAUCUACUUUUUCGUGGGGGAUAACGUAGGGAAACUUACGCUAAUACCGCAUACGACCUACGGGUGAAAGCAGGGGAUCUUCGGACCUUGCGCGAUUGAAUGAGCCGAUGUCGGAUUAGCUAGUUGGCGGGGUAAAGGCCCACCAAGGCGACGAUCCGUAGCUGGUCUGAGAGGAUGAUCAGCCACACUGGAACUGAGACACGGUCCAGACUCCUACGGGAGGCAGCAGUGGGGAAUAUUGGACAAUGGGCGCAAGCCUGAUCCAGCCAUACCGCGUGGGUGAAGAAGGCCUUCGGGUUGUAAAGCCCUUUUGUUGGGAAAGAAAAGCGGCAGGUUAAUACCCCGCUGUUCCGACGGUACCCAAAGAAUAAGCACCGGCUAACUUCGUG
rnacentral:rRNA from 1 species